CGGCAACAACGAUUUGAGCGAAGCUCAGGGUGUAUUCUUCGAAGUCUCGUCAAUAAUUUCCAGCUGCUUAACCGCUUUCUGGCGUCCUUCAAUCAAACCAUCCCUGAUCAAACUAACGGAAUCACAUUUCAUAGUUUUUGAUUGGUCGGCGUCGUGCGUAGGCUGGUGUAAUUGGAAGCCAUUUAAGUGCUUCAAAGAUUUUAAAUGGCGGAAGCCAAGUUAGGCGUUGUAAAUCGUAGCCUGAUUAAUUAGACAGCACGUGAUCGUUCGUUUCACCUCCUCUCGAUCGUUCUUUUCACUUCCUCCCGAGAGGAAGUGAAACGAACGAUCACGUGCCGUCUGAUAAAUCAGGCUAUGUAAAUCGUCGACGACAAUUCGCAGAAUAUUGAGAACCGCAGUAAAACAAAACUUACCCUGUCUGAUCAAUCGAACGAAUCCGAACAAAAUGCCGACAUCCAAUCGGCCGAUUGCUUCCCGGUGGAUUCGGCAAUCGAACAUAAUCGAAUACAUUUUUUUUUAGUUUGAUUUCAAUUUAUUAUUAGUUCGAUCCUGCUCAAUAAAUAUGACUAAACCCGAAAAUAGGCUUUAAUUUCAAAAGUCUUGGGAUGGAACUCAAUCAAUAGCGCAAUAAUACGACCAGUAAGUUGUACGGCCGCUGUCUGAGGCGCUUUCCCAUGCCUUCAACUCGAUCACGUCUGAAUCUGAAUUCAGCAUCUAGCUGCGAUGGGAGUGAUUAGCUACUCCAAUUUAUUUAUUUAUUUAUAACUUUCAAUGGUUUUAAAGAUCGGUUUUCUUCGAUUAAAUUUAACGCAGCCAAUAAAAAAUGAUUAGUUUUAUUCGUAAUUAGAGAAAAGCAUUAUUACUGUUGCACCAGCUGUGAUUAGGAAUAUUUUUUAUAUUUCAAAAGCUAAUCGAUUACUUUACUGUUAAUUGGCCGUUACUUAACAAUUUCUUAACAAUUUGCAAAUUGGCUAUUUGUUCGUCACCUUAAUAAUUUUAUCGAAAAAUGUCACUUUUAACGCUUUCACAAAUUUUAAAAAUCUCACACACUGUUAUUUUUAUACACCGCCAGAUCCCCGCUUAGCCCUGGAGUUUUUGUUAAGGGGGAUGCCUAAAUCACCGUUUUUAUAGGAACCGAUUUAAGAAAAGAAUGCAAACCUCUUUUUCUCAGUAGUACCUUAUUUUCUCGAAAUUUGGAAAACUUUCAUUAUUACCUUAAAUCAGAUAACAAUUACUAAAAGUGAAAUAAAAAGACAUAAUGACAUUUAGUUUUCAGCAAUGAAAAUUAGCCAAUUUAUCCCGCAAUUACUGUUUACUUUUGUACGUGCUACUUGAUUUACGCCUCCUUGAUUUGAUUUUAAUUUCGAUUAAACAAGCAGAUAUAAAAGCGAAGCUGGGUACCUGAGUUUUAUCUCUUUUGACGUUGCACAAGCAAGGCACCCAGAAUGAAGUACCCCGUCAUAGCCCUGCUUUGCCUCUUGGCGAAUGCGGCAUCCGUGUCUCUCGACCCUAAGUAUUGCAUCAAUCAGGAAACUUACUAUUCCAUCUACCAAGUACCCACACACAACUGUGACUGCGAGGCUAAGCAGGCCGGUGCUCUGCGCUACCAUGAGGGAAACCUACAGGUGUGCAAUGGAAAAGAGUACGUGGAUGUGUGCGCCAACAACCGCGCAUCAGUUCCAGAAGUUGGUUCGGCGGAAAACGCUGGCAAGUCAUGCCGUGAUAUUAUUUCAAGGCGCGAGGGAGCUAAGAGCGGUAUGUAUUACAUCAAGAAUGGAGACAAGAAGAUCAAGACCUACUGCUACAUGGAAGAGAUGUGUGGAGGCAAGGGCUGGACUAUGAUCAUGAAAAUUGACGGAAACAAGAAAACGUUCCGCUACGACUCGGCGUACUGGAGCAACAAGGAAACUCAUAACCCAUCCGAGGCCACCGGAGGGUUGCGGCAAGUGGAAACCAAGCUUUCAACCUACUCCGACUUUGCAUUCACCAAACUCUGCCUCGGCAUGCGAACUGGGAACACUGUCAAAUAGGCUACACUCAGUUACAGCGCCAAGUCCCUGUAUGACGUCAUCGCCGACGGCCAGUAUCGCAGUACCAACAAGGGCCGUGACUUCUGGAAGAGUCUGAUCCCCAAUUCGUCUCUGCAGAGGAACUGUGGACGCGAAGGGUUCAAUGUGGUCUCUCGCAAUAAUGAUGCAGUGGCCAGGAUCGGAAUAAUCGGUAACCAGGAGAAUGACUGCAAUUCUCCUGACUCGCGUAUUGGGUUUGGCACGAUGGGCCACAACUGCGGCCAAACCAACGACAACUCGGCUGGUAACGAGGCCAGAUGUGCACCAGACAACGGAGACAAAAGCAUCAAAAGCUUUGGCUACAUCUUCGCAGCUUAGAAGUUUGGCUCUGCUUGACAAAACUGUUAGCAGUGGAAGACACAUAAAAGAUGUUGUUGAUUUUGCAUUAAAUAUCACAUCAAUUUGACUCUUC